UCUGGAGACUGCUGAUGCUGCCCGCGCUCUCGCUGGCGGCCUCUCGCUCCUCUCUCCUCUUCUUUCCCUUCCCCUAGGGAGCGGCCGGCUCAGCCUCUGGCCAUAGGGAGUCCGCCCAACAGAGAGGGGCUCUGGUCCCGCCGCCCCUCCCCGCCCAGGCCAGUCCCCGCCUCGGUGGGUUUUCUUUUCUGCGCUCUUCCCCUCCCCCCACCCUCCGGUUUCCCGAGGCACGACCCGCGUCUCUGGCGGAGCUGCCUCCUGGAGUCCCUAGUGCGCCAGGAGCCUCGCUCUGUUCUGAUUCGUAUGGGCUCCGCCGAGUUCCGCUUGCGUCAGGCGCCUUCGCCCCUAUAGCGGGGCGGCCAGUCGCGCACGGGAGAGUUCAUCUCCAAGUCACUUUUUGUAAACGCCCCGCACAGCCCGGACCGGCCUGCCCCCUCCCAGGGAGCGUAGGGGGCCGGCGGACAGCCGGGCUCACGCUCUCACAAGCCCUUGGGUCUGCCGGUGCUCGCUCUGCGGACUGGGCCGGGAGAUGCCGAGGGCCCCGGCGGGGUCCGUCCGCACUCGGUCGGUGCCCAGGGAGCUCGGGCCCUAGUUGGGAGAGGCGCGCCAAGCCUCGCAGCUUCCAGGCGUGAAUGUUCCGGUAAGGCUUUGGAGGACUGAAUCUGUAUGUGCAUCGGUACCGCAAACAGAAGUCAUGGGGAGCCUGUCCUUGUGACACGUGAGAUACCAGCUGUCCAGGAGCAUGUGUGCUGGUGCAGAAACAGGGCUGAGGGGUGAGUUCUCACCGCAGAAGUCUGUUUGGGACCCAGUUACAUCUGCAUGCAUGGAGGUUGUCUCAGGGAAAAUCAGUGCUGGGAAAAUCAGUGCUGGCAAAAUAGCCAGGUGUGCCUUUUAACAGUUAACUCAGCCUUAACAAAAAGUCCGCAAUCAUAAAGUGUGAGAGAGCUGGCUGGGUGUUUUGAGUCCUCAUGCCCCAACUCCUUGGUGCUGAGGAGGCCAGGAUACUUUGUGAAGUAAUGUGGACUGAAUGGAUGUCAUGUCUGGAAUGGCUGGCCCGAUGCCUGUCAUUGCCUCUUCCUCCUGAGCCUCCCAGUCUCUGAGGAAGCCUGAAGAGCCCUUGGUGGUCUAUGGCCCCAGCAACUGCAGGCCACCUAUAUAUGCUGCCUCUUCCCACUAGGGCCCAGAUCUGCAUUCUGAGAUUAAAGGGAAGGAUGCUGUGCUCUUUGGAAUUCAGCAUCCACAAGAUGACUCCAGAGAGGUCAGCAGGGCAGCCUGGUCUGACCACUACAGCAAGAGGGAGCAGUAACUCACCUCAGUAAAUACCUUCAUCCUUCAUCAUUGAAAAGAUCUCAAAGUGGCUUGAUUGGUUUCAUUCACCGCUCCCCACAAGUAGCUCUUCUUCAAAACCUCUGUGACUGCUUCCUGAGCAGGAGUGAAGGUGUUUUUCUUCGUCCUCACUCCAAUUUGUGCCCAGGCUAUGGGUGGGCAUGGGGUGAGUUGGGUUUUGGGCUGCUGCAGAUUAACCUCAAUGCCCAUCCUCCCCUAGGGUCUUGGCAGGGGAAAAAGAACAGCUGGA